rnacentral:lncRNA from 1 species
CUGGCUAUUAGGAAGGAAAAAAAAAUGGUGUGGAGAAAGACGGGCUCUGGUUCCUUACGGCCCAUUUUCUCUCCAGGCUUUUCUUGGUUUCCAGCUUUUGCUUUUUAAAUUUUUCCCUGUCUUUUUGGUUGAAAAUGUACAAAAUGUGUAUUUUAAAUAUCAAAAAAUUAUACAUUUUGAACAUGACAAAAUCUUAGAUCCACAAUACGUUUUUACAAAAAUAUUAUUUUAAAAAUACCGUCUGCUUUCUCUCUACUUGAAUUAAAAUGUCAUGUUCAUUUCUUAUCUUCUGAUCUGUUCAAUCUGACAUUUGUUAGAUGUGAAAAAGUUCUGCAGACUAUUUCAGAGAAUAUUUUUAAAAUGUGAACAACCGACAUGUAAAAUGUCCGCGGGAGCACGCUUGCGGAGUUCACAUUCAUUUUUCAGACGCUGGGGUGCUGGGAACGGCGGGCGUCCUUCCUGGGUACCGCGGGGCGGCCGUCCCGGGCCGGGUCCCCUUCCUCCUCGGGGCACCGACGGCCUCUCCUGGCCGGGCUGAGGCCGGCUCGGCCCCGUGCGGCCUUCCGGUUUGCUAGCAUUUUCCUUCUGGGACGCGCACGGAGGCUGUGGAGAGACCCGGCCGGGGUCCGAGGGGGUGGGCGGCCCUAGCGCGGGUCGGGCCGCGGGUCCCACCUGCUGCCGCCCGCCCCGAGUGCCCCAGAGACUCUGCCGCCGCCCGAGCGCGCGGCCCGGGCCACCUGAUGGAACGUGCGGAGCUCACUCCUCCACCUGGCGCCCAUUUGGCUUUUUAUUAUCUGCCUCCCGCAUCCUAACUGGUUCCAGAUUUGCAACCUCAGAGGCGCAGACACCCGGCUGGGCCACGCCAUCGAUCCCCAGGUACCCCGAAGCAAUUACAGCCACUGCGUCGCGGCAGCCCGGCGCCCCUGAGGGCUGCUCCAGACGGCGCCCCCCCGCGGGGCUCCUUCCAGGGCCUCGGGCCUUUCCGGGCGAGAGCACCGUAGCAGGCGGGGAGUGGGGCGCCGGCGCUGGCACUUCAGAGCUGGGACCCGCUGCCCCCGGCACCAGCCCGGCCUUCCCCGAGCGCAGCGCACAGCCUCCACCAGAUGGAGUCUUGCUCUGUUGUCAGGCUGGAGUGCAGCGGCCACUGUUACCUCCGCCUCCCGGGUUCACGCGAUUCUCCUGCCUCAGCCUCCCAAGUAGCUGGGACUACAGGCCCAGCUCCAUGAUGAUGCCUCUCUCCAGAGACCUCCUGACCUCCUGACCUGCACAGCCCGGGAGACCACAGCCCACAGCCGCUGCCCCAGGUGUCCACAAGCAUCUCAGCCCCUCCACAGCCCACGCAUCUCCUCUUUCAUUGGCUCAUGGGGAGUGAAGGACAAUGUCUGAAUUAAAUGCCGUGCUUUAAACUGAAAGGGAAACUUAGCAAAUAAAUGAGAGUAACAACACUAGAUCAUUGGCCAGUGUGGUUGCAAUUCUUCCUUUCCCUCCAGAUUUCUGUUUAACCUUUAAAUCUCAUUUCGGCAUGCCUCUUGGUCCUCCUUGGAUUGAUAUUAAGUUGUACACAGGCUACUUCUUGUAAGACGAUGAGAACUCUUGCCGAUAUUUUACAACGUCUUACUCUGAACUUUCCCCUAUUCUUUCUGCCUAGAUGCAUUAUUUUCAGGAAAUCUAUGUUGUAAGACAGAGGUAGGCAAACCAGGGUUGCGGGCCAAGUCCUUCCCACAGCCUGUUUUUGUAAAUAAAGUUUUAUUGGAAUGCAGCCAAGCUUGUUCAUUUACACAUCAUCUAUGGCUGCUUCUGUCCUGCCAUAGCACUGUUGAGUAGUUGCGACAGAGACCACGUGACCUGCAAAGCCCAAAAUAUUUACUAUCUGACCCAUUACAGAAAACGUUGCCAAUAUCCUGUCGUAAGAUAUGCUGAAAUGUUUAAUUCUUUGAGGACUGGGGCACAAAAUUAUGUAUUUUUUUAAUCCACCAUGCUAAAAGAAGGAAAAUUCAUUUACUGUAAUAUGUCCUG